GACGAACGCUGGCGGCGUGCUUAACACAUGCAAGUCGAACGGAAAGGCCCUGCUUUUGUGGGUUGCUCGAGUGGCGAACGGGUGAGUAACACGUGAGUAACCUGCCCUUGACUUUGGGAUAACUUCAGGAAACUGGGGCUAAUACCGGAUAGGAGCUCCUGCUGCAUGGUGGGGGUUGGAAAGUUUCGGCGGUUGGGGAUGGACUCGCGGCUUAUCAGCUUGUUGGUGGGGUAGUUGCGUACCAAGGCUUUGACGGGUAGCCGGCCUGAGAGGGUGAACAGGCACCAGAGUCCUGAGAUACGGAGCAGACGCCUACGGGAGGCAACGGUGGGGAGUAUGACACAAUGGGCGGAAGCCUGAGGCAGCGGCGUUGCGUGCGGAAUGACGUCUUUCGGGGUGAGAACCGCUGUCGCCUGUGACGAAGCGUGAGUGACGGUAAUGGGUAAAGAAGCACCGGCUAACUACGUG
rnacentral:rRNA from 1 species